GAGGAUUUGAAGAUUUUAGGCUGUAUUUUAACACUAUGAAUGUUAAAUACGGAGCAAAAGGGAAAGCAACUCCGGAAGAACACACCUCAGAUGAAGCUCAGAUCUAUUGCUGCAAUUUUCCAUGGGUUGCUGCUGCUGUUCUCUGCCUGAACAGAAUCCAGUCCCAACCAUCCUGUAGCAGGAGGAAUUACUUCAUGGACGAGGUGAGAGAAGUGGAACCAGCCCAAAGAAAAAGCAAUACUACAGCAUCCGAAAAUGGAGAAAACUGAAGAGACCGUUCUUCAAUCUGUGACUGCAAAAAGAUGUUGUGUGGAAUGGAGGUCACCUGAAAGCCAGGAUCCCUGAGAACAAAGGAAACCUCUUCAUUUUCUUAAUGUCACCUCAACAACCCCUAAACAACAAGAGAGUUUUUCUCUUGUUGAGGUCACAAUGUCUAUGGUAUUUUGUUAUGGAAGCUGCAGCUGAGGAAAGUACCAGUUGUUUAUCAGUUAGUAGUUUUUGUUUCUAAUAGCAGAAGUUGCCAUUGACCCACUCAUGGAUGAAAGGGGAUGUAUUGAAAGGAGUCUGAGGAGUGCAGAGAAUUACAUGGAACUCAGAAUGACAAGAACCUACAAGUGUUUCUCAUAUUUACUCUGAGUCAGACAUGCAGUUAAAAACUGGGUCAUUAUCCUUCCAGGGAUUUCUGUUAAAUGCCCAACCUCUCUCCAGUCUGGUAUAUCUUUGCUUAUGAUGCUAGUCUUCUUCAGAAAGAAAUUAAUUGUUCUUCGAGUUCAAUUGAUUUGGAAUGUAUAGUGCAGGAUUUGCAAAAGUCAAUUUCAAAAGGACUUUCUUAAACUUUUCUGUCUUUAAAUUUAAUUUUCAAUAUGGCUCAGGCAUUUUAACUGAAAGAAGAGAUGGUGGCAGAAAACAGUUUACAUACCAGAAAUCUGGUCCACAUGCUUCUACAAUAAAUGGUCCUACACACUGUCUUAAUUAGGGCUUCUAUUGCUGUGAAGAGACACCAUGAGCAUGGCAACUCUUAUAAAGAAAACAUUUCAUUCAGUUUGGUCUACAGUUUCAGAGGUUUAGUUCAUUAUCUUGAUGGUGUAAGACAUGGUGCUGCAGAAGGAGUUGAGAGUUCUACAUCCUGAUCUGCAGAUAACAGGAAGCAAGCUGAAUGCCACACUGCACAUAGCUUAAGCAUAGGAGACUUAAAGUCUACCUGUACAGUGACACACUGUCUCCAAAAAUGUCACAUCUAUUCCACAAAAGUCACACCUCCUAAUAGGACCACUUUUUUUCUGUGAGUCAUUUUCUUUUAAACUACCACACAUAUUGAGUCUUCUUGCAAGCCCUUACUUUAAUCAUUUGAAAUGCUAAAAAAUUUAGUAUGUAAUUUUCUCAGUAUGAAAAGAAAAUAUUUAGAAAUUAUAAAAACAAUAUUUGUGUAAAAUCACCUAAAAAAUGGUGCAUUGACAUUGCGUCAGUCAAGCCUUUUUUGUUUGUUUGUUUGUUUGUUUGUUUCACCCCCUAAAUCUGUAAUUCUGAAUAAAGCACUCAGAUGAUGUGAGAUACUUUGGCACCCACCCUCUUCAUUUCAUUGUGACUCUGACCAAUGUUACUGAAUGUAGCUGCACUGCAUGUAUUUUCAUUCCCUCACAUUAUUGUAUGUUAUUCACAGCUCUUUAAAAAUGUACAUGAAGCUAACCUGUAGAUGUUUGGUUACUUCAACGGCUUCAAGCAUGAGUCUAAUUCCUGAAGGAAGUGAUGGCUGGCCACGGCAUAUGCACAUGCUGUCAGCAAGAAGGAACAGUCUGGAGGGGCCACUGAUAAUGACAAUAGGAUGUGUCUCUACUGCAUAUACCAGCUUCAUGGGAU